GUUUUAUAGUUUUCAUUCUCAUAUAGAGUUAAAACCAUUAGGUAAUUUCAUGUAACUGUCUAGAAGCCAUAUAUCAAGAUACUCAUUCAAGAAAUACUUUAAAUUUCAUCUGACUAGAGGAAGACUUGUGGACUGGCUAGCACACAUUUUUCAACAGAACUCUAGUUUGGAAUUUAAGCCGUAUGAAAAGAAUAUGCUAUUUUCCAUGGAAUGUGUGUCAAUUACCGGAGUUGAGGGAAGAUUUUUUUAAUUUUUUUUCCCCUACAAAAUGUAUGACAGCAUAUCAAACAGACAGACUGAAUAUUUUUCAGGAGGAAAAGGUGGCUCACAUGGAUACCAUAGAAUUUCAUAAAGUUUCCAGUAUGGCCAAUGAAUAAGAGGGAAUACAAUGCAGAAUACAGUCUCAGCCUUAAAUGGCAAUAUGUGACAUUCAAAACACCAUGAGAAACUUAGGGUUAUAUUUUUAAGGAUUAUUAAUUUUUAUUUUUUAAUGGAUUCAGUCUAUCAGUUCAGUUUUUCUUAUUCUAUAAAUAAAUAUAACUCAUAAUUUCCAAACCUGAAUACCUUCCAUUUGAAUUGAAAAAAAUAUCAGAUAACAUGUACCUGAAGAAGUUAUUUUGUUCCUAUUUCAUUCAACUAUUCAAAUGUUUAGUCUUCCGUAUAUAUAUUUCAAAAUGUACUAUUCCUUAACUCCAAAAAGUAUCUUCAUGCCUCUUGUAGAUCAAAUUUGAUUUUUUUAAUAAUUAUGAAAGUAGAAAAUAAUUUAGAAGACUUAGAAUAAUUUAAAGAAUGUUGCUUUAGUUCUGCACUGAACAUCUGAGACUAUUGACCCCUUUUAUAAUGCAGUGUGGACUCAGAGAAAUGAUCAACCUAUGUCUACAUAGAUUUUCCUCUAAUUGCCACAUGACUGAUUUAAAAGUUUGAAAAUUAUCCUAAAUAUUAGAUAAUGGAGUAAUUUGAAUCAAUGCCAUUUCCAGAUUGUGUUGCCAUAUAGAUUUAGGUUUCCCUGUGAAGGGCAGCACUAGUCUCCAGUAAAGGUAUGUCUUUCUUGAUCAUGCUCUCACCUAACACAUCAGUGCUCAUAUAAUUCUGUGAUUUUUUUCUGUUAUACAGCCCUGUACACUCACUAUGUUAAUUAGUAUCUUAAUUGUACAUUCUUAUAUAAGAUCCUAGCUUUAUUUCUGUUUGCUAGUUUUCAGAGUUUUCUAUGAUUCUGCCGAAGAUAUAAAUCACAGGACUUUGUUUUCUUAUACUAAGUGCACAGAAAAAUAUAUUCAACUCAAAUAUAUUCUCACUUUCUUGCACCAAAACGUAUCAAACUUACUCAAGUUUUUUUAAUCAGCAGUGUGCACAGAACAUAAAAUAUUAUAUAAACUCCUUUGCAGGUGAAGACAUACAACAAAAUUUUGCUUUCACCUGCAUGUGUUUAAACACAGAACAUGUUUGUGUAUAUGAUAUUUCUGUAAAAAAAGGGGGUCCCUGAUGUGAUGUUUUUCACUGCAUAAAGCAAAAUAAGCAGCACAGCUUGAGUAAGAAACACAUGUCAGAUAAAGAAGAAAAACACUUGUGGUUAAGGGCAUAAAAAUUAAAUUUUGUCACACUUCAGUCCUUUUGCAGAAGUGCUCACCAGAAUGGUGCUGACUCUUAGCAACUAUUGCAUCAAAGUCUACAGUCAGAAGUGCAGGAAUUUUUUUUUAUGACAGGAUGCUGUUAAAGAAACAAACUGUAAUUCAUUAUUUUCUAAAAUUUCUGACCCUCUAGCAAAUAUAAUUACUCAGUUUCAUCCACAGUUAGACAUCUUCAGCAUUAGCAGGCCAAAUCCUUAUUUGUUUUGAAGGCAGUAAUCCUGUGACAUAAAUUUAUUUCUCAUCAUCAUCUAAAUUUCUUUAAAAAUUCACUUCAUGGACCUGUGUAGAUAAAUACUGAAAAACUUCCUCUUUCUGAUUGCCAUUAGUAUAAGAAAUUACUUGCUUUUAUACAGCUUUAUUGACCUUUUAUGCCCUGGAUUCAUUUGUCUCAGUAUCUUCCACAGAACAAUAUUUAGAUUUGUUAAUUUUGUAUUUGCAUGAUAGUUCUGGGAAGUUAUGCAGAAUGCACUCAUGCUCCUAAUUCUUCUUUCUUUUAUCAAGGCAUACCAAAUUUUCAAGCUGAUGCUAUUUUACUCUUUUUCUAUUUGUUACUGGAACUCUUAAUGUUCUUGGAGGCUUUGAAAGGCUUCACAUAAUAGUUCUCAUCUCUUUUGAGGCUUUUUGUAUAUAUUUUAAUUUUUUUCAAGGAUUUUCUAGGAACUACGAGCUCUUCUUUUAUGAUUCUUCAUGAUCAAUCAUUGUGCUUUCCAGUUUGCCAUCUUGGAUGAAUAUAUAAUGCAAUUACAUAAGGUUGGGUGUGGAUAUACAAAUAUGUGUUUGCAUAUGCACAUGUAUAUAGGCAUAUGCAUAUGAACAAAUAUGUUUAAACACUCAUAUGGUUAUGAGUGUGUAUACAUACAUAACAUAUAUAGAAAAUGCUCAUAUUCUUAAUGGCAUGUUUAGGCAUAUAAGAAGCACACAGGUCCUAGUUGCCAGUGUCUAGCUCUAUAAAACUAUCACAAAACAAGAUUUCCCUCUGGUGCUCUUUCUAAGGACUCCAGCUCUUCAUGACACUUUCAGAAGUGUAGUGUACAGCAGUAUCUGUGCAUCACUGUGACAAAGCACUUUUUGUCUUCUGCAAAUUGAAGUUCAUUACAUUAGUGCUGAUGUUCUCUUAGCAGGUGGUCGAUGUCAAUUAUUUUUUGCUUCUGUGUAAUGAAAGCUGCUACAUAUUCAUUUCAAUUCUGUUACAGACCUCUGAAGUUCUGACAAGCUGUGAGCAGUUCUUCUAUCAGGUAAACUUAUGAACAGCUUCCUAAUAGUUGGAAUCAUCUUGUCCUGACUAACCUGGAUUUCUCACAACUUGUCUCUAUGUUUGCCUCAUACACAGUUGAGGUUGUCCUUUUCCUUUCUCAAUUUUUAGAGCUUGUUGCAGAAGACAGGCAUCCAGACCUCCCUUGCUCCCUUACAACAGCUGUUGCCAAGUGUUGGACAAGGUGAUUUUAUUUUAACAGGUGCAUGCACAAGAUAAUUUACAUUGAUCUGAGACUUGGACUAUGUCCACGUGAGAAACUUACCUUGCCCUUGUCCAAGCCAGCACUAAUUUCUAGUCAGAUCAAACUGAGUUCUGUUCGUCUGGAAAUAACAGCCUCAAGACUAUGUGCCAGUACCAGUCACAUGGACACAAACCAACCUAAUCCUGAAUCUUGAAUAAAGUGCUCUUGACUAUACACUAUUCAGAUUAAAACAAAACAAAACAAAACAAAACAAAACAAAAAAUUCACUAAACCAGAAUAUGGUAUCACAUUAAAAAUCUCUUCCUAGUCUUCAACCUGCUGCAGUACAGAAAUUCUCAGUUUAAUUUCCAGGAUUUUGCCAUAGCUUUGAUAUAUUUUAUGCACACACACACACACACACACACACACACUCAUACAUGCAUAUAUAUAACCCCUAACUCUGAAUCUAUGGGAUUUUUAAAAAAAUAAUUUUCUAGUUAUUCAAAAAAAUGUCUGAAACAAUGGAUCUUUUUCAAAGCCUUUGUUUGUCUUAUGACUCAUUAGUGGGACAGUAACUCACUGGGUACUCAUAUUACACUGGCAACUAAAUAUGUUGAGAAACAUCCAAGUUAUGCUCAUAUAAAUCUCCCUAACAGCCAGCUAGAGCACUCCCUCUACUAUGUGCAGACACACUGCCAGUCAUAAAGAAAAGAUGGUUGAAAAGUUUUACUUUGUGUCCCUCUAGACAAUAAGUCAUCAGAAUUCAUUUUUAUGACUGAAGGCAUAAAGAGUUUAGUGGCUGUGGAGCUGCCUCUGUUUACCAGAAUUGGCUUUCUGGACUUGCACAAUGCAGUGUGCAUCAGGCAGGUAGGAAUUUGCUAUCAGCAGUAUAAAAACAUCUGUCAUGCUGUCAAGUUUAAUGAGAGGGAGGCAUGGAAGAAAAUAUUGCAAUCUAGAGAUACAAUUAGAUCUGUGGAAGAAAAGUUUGAGCCGCAUAACUUGUUCAUUGAAACACAAAAUGACCAACUCACACACACUGGCUGGGGCAGGAAGGCACCUCUGGAGAUCACCUGGUCCAAGCCUCUACUCAGAGCAGGGUCAACAACAGCAGGGUAGCCAGGAGUGUGUCCAGCUGGGUUUUUAAUAUCUCUAAGUGUAGAGGCUCCUCAGCUUCUCUAGACAACUUUUCUGGGUGUGACCUUCUUCCUCUCAAUGAAAAUUUUACUUAUGUUUAAGUCUCAUUUUGUGCCCUCUGCCUGAGAAAACUUUGUCCUCUUUACUCCCCCAUGAGGAAGCAUGACCCCUCUGAGUGUUCUCUUUUCCAGACUGACAAAUCACAUUUAUUUCAGCCUCUUCUUUCGUGCCAGAAGCUUCAGUCCUUGAGCCCCUUGAGACUGGAUUCACUCCAGUCUGUUUACAUCUCUCUCAUACUGGGAAGCCCAGUACUGGACCCAGCACUUCAGAUUUGUCUUGCCAGAGUAGAGAAAGGAUCACUUCCUUUGACCUGCUAUCAACUCUUUUGCAUAAUGCAGCCCAGGGUACCUUUAUCCUUCUUGGCUGCAAAGGCAACCUGCAAACUCGUGUCCAGACUUCAUGUCCACCAGGACACCCAGGACAUUCCCUGCAAACUACUUGCCAGAUGGAGCAUACCCUGGUACUUGGGUUAUUCCUCCCCGUGAUCAAGAUGUGGCUUUCACCGUUGUUGAUCUCCAUUUCUCCAGCCUCUCAAGGUCUUCCUGAAUAAAAGGACACCAAUCUGGUGCAUCAGCCACUCUUUCAAGUAUUGUAUCAUCUGUAAAAUCACUGAAGGUGUGCUGUAUCUUAUCAUCAGGAUCAUUAAUUAUAAUGCUGAACGGUAUUGGCACUAUUACAAUUACCCAGGGGAGAAUCUGUAUGAUGUUGCAGAACUGACAUUCAAUGCUUAUGAAAAAAGUUAUAUUCAGACAUUAUAAUAGAAACAGCUUUCCUACCAUCUUGACUAUUAGAUCAAAAUGUUUCCAUUACUUUUUUGAGUUGUCUUUUUAAUUUCAUCUAUUUUUAAGAAAACUUUUCUUCUUUAUUGAUGAAAAAAGUAAUGUUUAAAAAACAAAGCCUAACGAUUUUUAAACUAUCAUGACAUUGAUCUUAAACUAUGAUAAUACUGAAGAGUACUGAUCUAAUACUAUGAAAAUUUUGAAGAGUAUUGUUCAUGCUCUUUGUGUUGGACUUUGUUACAAUAAACAUAAUUUCAGUUUUCAGUACUGAAGUUUUCAGUAGAUGGUCAUCUAAAAGGCACAUCAUUGUCAAAUUAUAAAGAGAUAAGUUAUUAUAGUUUGUGUUAAUCUUCCUUUUCAGAUUUCAGUGGUCACUCUACUUUUUAGUUCAGAAGACUAAAGACUAUUUACUCAGUUCUUCAAGAAGUUCAAUGAUGUUUCAGUAAUUAAACUUCAUUAUGCUAUCUACUAGAGCUCUUGCACUAGACUAAAAUUCAGCUGCUGUCUUCUUGAAUGACUUUUAUUACUCUUGUUCAUGUUGUGCCCUUGGAAAUUGAACAUUAACAAAGAUUUCUCCAUCAGGGGUGACAAAGUGUUAGACCAUGAGGUGAUAAAAAGGAAAGAGAUGGCAGACAUAAAAGGAAGUGUUUUUACAUCUGUAAAUACUGCUAAAACAACAUCAGAAAAUAUUUUAGUACCAAGCUUCAAGUAAGCCCUGUUCAUUUGAUGUCCACAUGAACCUUUGCCUUUUUUUUUCCCAGAAACUGUUCCUAGGCAUGUAUUAUCCAAACACACAAUGUAUUGCUGUUUUCUUGUAUUCAUGAUUUAUGGCCAGAUAGCAUCCAACCACUAAAGGUAGAAAAACAUAUUGGAAACAUAGUGGAAAUUGCCACUGUAAUGCUUCACAUAUACUUGAUAAGUAUAGAUCUGCAAACAUACUUGAAUCAGCAUAUAGAUCAUAAAAUAAUAGAAUCAGAAUUAUUAAGAUUGGAAAAGGUCUCAAAGGUCGAGUUCUACCAUUAACCAGAUAAUAUUUAUGUUUCUGUUGGCAUCUAAAAGAAGAGACAUAGAUAAUCAUGCUUCUUCAGAACAAGAGGAUAUUCAGGGUAAUCAAGUCUAAUUCUUUUGAUCUCUGGGAUAUCACACCUUUAGCAAUUGACAAAAAUCCACCUGAGUUUUAUUAUCCACCUGCCCUAUAAAAUCACACUUCUGUCUUCCUGUCUACUUCCAUCCAUUUAUUUUUGUGUCAGUCCGGUCCUUUAGUUUAAAGAGGAGUUUUCACUUUCUGUUCUUCUUCCCUUUCUCUGUACCCCUGUCCUUCCCACUCCCUGCCAGAAGGAAAUAUCACAAGGCAUCUUACCUCCUUGGUUUUGUAGCCUUAUUAAGCCACGCAUUAGUCUACCAGCUAUAGUAUCAUCCUUCUUCUAUUUGAUAACAGUUUCUGUCAUUCACCAAUCUACAAGGCCUCCCCUGGAGUGCUCCAGUGGCUCUGCACAUAGGAAAUGUGCAGACAGAGAAGUACAGACACUGUAGUAUCAUUGCUAAUAUUAAUUUUUGUAUAUUUAAGUUCUUAAAAAUAUUUGUAGGUUGCUAUAUUUGUGAUCUAAGAAGAAAAUGAAAAAAGGAAAAGAGGGAGGAAAAAGCUCAAGCUUGUAAAUUUCAUUAAUAUCUUUGUUCAGAGUAACUGCAGUUUUUAAAAAAUUGUAAUUAAAUGAAGUAUCAGUUAAUAACAGCACAGUCUACUGUAGUAAUGUAGCUGUAUUUUCAUGGAUAUUGUACCUAUAUGUCUUGCAUUUUCCUGUAAAUUAAGUGGCAGUCAUUCAGCACUUUUUCUGCAAAGUUUAAAAGAAAUUUUCAAAAGGCAAAAUAUUCAAAAUUCCACUUUUCCUCUAAUCUCUAGUUUAGUUCCUUUCCCUCCCUUGUGCCUAAAAAUUGAUCUUUGUCAUAGUCUAUGCAAUGAGAAAAGCCUGCAGGGCCUGCACAAUAAUUGUGUCUCCAAGUAGUUUGAUAAGAUUAUUUUUGGGUGAAACCUCAGGAAUACCAUUCAGCAAUGUCAACUGAAAGAUCUGUUACAGUUAUAAAGGAUGUACAUAAAUGGUGCAGUGUACUGGCUUCAUAUAGGAAAAAUAAUGAGCUACUUCCAUGACACUGUGCACAGCAAUGUUUAUCAGGCUGUGAUUUUUGGAUCAAUGGAUGUUCUUAGGUAUUCAGAAGGAGUGCAGCAAAAUGUCUUUUUUUCUUAUAUGGAAGAAAUACAGGAACAUUGAAAAUGUAACCUACAUUCUGUACAGCAGUAAUUGAAUUUUGUUUUGGCAUUAUUUCAUAUUAUGGAUGGAUUUUUUUUUUUUUUGUGUUUGUUUGCAUGGGUGUGCUUGUGCAUGCAUAUACUAUAUUUCUGUAUUUGUAUGUUUCUAUAUUUUAACAAGGUAUCCUGCAAAUUUAAAAAGUUUGAAAAUCAAAACAGUUGUUCUUAAUUAUUCCUUCUAUCUCUAUCACAGUAUGCAAGUGCAGUAAUGAAGAAAGUCAAGAACUGUGCAUGCCACCAGCAAUAUCAAUGCUGAGGAAGUCAUGCAGCUUGUCUGAGCCCUCAUCAUUUCUUUCCAGCAGGUCAAGAACUAGUUCAAAAGUAAUGAUUCUCUUGAAUGGCAGUGUGCUCUUUCUUGAAUUUUCCUUUUAGAGAAUUAGAACUAAAGGUAUUCCUGAAUUCCCAAAUUUUUGUGCUAGACUUGAAUCACACUGACAGCCAAUAUGACCAAUAUUUUUUUUUCUUCAUUCAUAGCUAGGUCACAAACAAACUUUAACCCAAAAAUCUAUUUUUUUCAACUUUAAGAAAUGAAUCUAUGUUUACAUGUAUGAUUGGAUUGUGAGUUUGGAAAAAGAAAAAUUGCAAAAGUUUGUGAGACAACAUUAUGUCUAUAAGGUAUUAAUAGAUAUUCUGGUUGACUCGUUCCCUUUACCCCCAGUCUUAAGUGACUAAAAUACAUGCUUUUGAACUUCUUCACUCUACUUGUGUAUAUAUAUGAAGGAUUAUAUUCAAUUAUAUAAAGGAAACUUAUUCAAGUUCUUAUGGGAAAAAUCCACAUAAUAAUGAUAGCAUUCAUUUUAAUUCUAAGUUUCUUCUUUUAUACUUAUGUGUAAUAUUUAUUUUCUUCUGUAGAUUGCAGUUUGAUAAUUGUAAUUAUUCACAAUAACUUUGAGGAAAUAAAAAGAUAAGCCCUUAUAAUAUACUCCCUACAUUCUUUCACUCAUAUAUAUUGAAGCAGUCAAAUCGACAUUUAGCUUUUAACACUGAAUUUCUGCUUUAAAGUAUGUAAAAUGGAAUAUUUGACAAUAUUGCUAUCAAAAAUUAAUCCUAACACUCAUUCUGGCAAGAAACAUCUCUUUCUCAAACAGGGAAGAAUGGGAAGAGGAAGCAUUCCUGCUUCUGAGCACUUUUGCCUCCUGCCAAAAGUGGGAAGUGUAUAAAGCCUGAAGAGAAAAGACAUGCAUAUUAGGAGGAUUCAGCAAAUUUCCUGGAACUUCAGUCCCCUCUUAUGUGUUCAGAAAUUUAAUUUAUUAUCAUAUUGCCCUAAAGAUAUAAUUUAAUUUGAAAUAAUUCUGCUGUAAUUUCAACCUUUUUACAUAUUUUACUCUUUUUACUUUGGGACUGUAUCCUUUUGUGAGUGUCAAAUUCCAAGCAUUUAGAAAAAUCUACAUAGAGACUGGUUAUAGUUAAUGAAAGAAACAUAUAACUUUGCAUUUCAAAUACAAAAAUAAAACCUAGGUUUGGCAUAGUUAAGAGAAGGAUAACAUAGAAUAGAACAUUUAGAAAAUACUUGAAAUAAACCAAAAACUACUUUAUAACCUUUUUUUUUUUUUUAACUUAAUCUAAGGGAAAAUAGCUUCAUUCAGCUUUUUUAGUAUUUACAAGAGUCCUAUAUCCUUUGAAAAAUUAUUUUUAAUGGUCAAAGGUAAAAUAUAUUGAAUUCUUCUAUACAGCUAUACUGCAAUACCCUUGUUAAAGAAAGCCUUCAAAAAUGCUAAUUUGAAAUUAUGCCUGAAAAGGGACAAAUCUUAAAGCUACUUAUUUUUAAUUUUUUUGUCCAAAACAAGAAGUGAUCAGCUGUGCCACCACUGUCCACUCUUGCCUGAAGCCCUUUCAGGGAAAAGUGUGAAAAAUUAACCAGAGGAUAAAAUAAGUUCAAUAGAAAAUUAGCUUUUUGGUUAAAGCAAACAGAAGUGAACAGAAGGAGAAUAAACACGAUUUCUGUUUCUGUUUUGUUCCAUAUGCACCAAUUACAAACAAAUUGAGCUGCUGGUGGUCAGAAACCCCAAGGAUCUUGUGAUAUGUAUUCCUGUUUGUCUCUAAUCCUAUAUUAAAUAUUGUACUGAGGCCUGUUAAACAUUGAUAAGCUUUUUUUACGCUGUAAGGUCCUCCAAGAUCAUUGUGCCUAAAUACCUAAAUACCAUAAAGACCUGGAUAAGGUUUAUGCAUUGUUAUGGUGGUUUAGAUGCAUCUUACCUCUCAGUCUUAUCUCUCCAAGGGAGAAAGUCAGCCUAAUUGUAUAUUAAUAUUGGCAUCAUUAGUGAUUAGCUGUUCAAAUCUGAAAAAAAAAAAAAGUUAUUCAGUGCAGUUUUCUGAUGCU